rnacentral:rRNA from 1 species
GACGGAGGGUGCAAGCGUUGUUCGGAUUGACUGGGCGUAAAGGGCGUGUAGGCGGUUGGUCAAGUCCGAUGUGAAAGCCCGGGGCUCAGCUUCGGAAGUGCAUCGGAAACUAGCCAGCUGGAGCGCGAUAGAGGAGGGCGGAAUUCCUGGUGUAGCGGUGAAAUGCGCAGAUAUCAGGAGGAACACCUAUGGCGAAGGCAGCUCGCUGGGACGGUACUGACGCUGAGGCGCGAAAGCGUGGGGAGCAAACAGG